CUCAAACAGCUAGAGAUUUUUCAUCUGGCCCAGCUCAACUUAAAUCCAGACUAAUCAUGUUCCUGCGCACAACAGGUUCCUCUGGAUCCUCAAUUUGACAGCAUUGUUGUGGGGCAGUCUGCAGACCCCAUGGUAUGGAAAAGUCUGUAUUAAUACAGCAUCUCCUGUGGAGGCUAUAUACUUUCUAUUCCCAAAGUAACUGAGGAGACUGGAUAAUGUGAAAAAAAGCCUGGGUUUUCCAGAGACUGGUUUUUGGAACACCAGAGUUUGCAGACA
rnacentral:lncRNA from 1 species